AAUGUUGUGCGGCCAGUGGAAUCCGCAGCUUCCAGGGCUGUGAGCAGCCAGCGUGGUUGUCCAGCGCUCCGGGCAGGAACGCGGAGUUGCGCUGCCACUUGGGCACCGGGCGAGUCACCCUCCUGUUCCUCGCCCGCUGGCACCCUGGCUGUGGGCACCCGCGGGGUGCGCGGCACGGGGCCGCUGUGCGGCGGCGGCCUGAAGGUCACAUCGCUCGACCGGCGCCAGCUGCGCAAGAUGCUCGGCAAGGAGGCUGUGGCACGGUGCUCGCUGCUUGACUGCCCGCCCUACCUUGCCUUCCCCGCCUCGAGCGUGGCUCGCUCAGCGUCAGCUUCAACUCGGUGGUGCUGUGGCGGGCACGGGGCGGCACGGUGUCGGCGGACUCCGUGCUGCCCCAGGGGGCGGCGUGCGUGUCGCGUGGCUCCUGCAGGAGGGCGGUGGCUGCAUGGCGGCCAUGGUGGUGCUGGACCAGGGUAGCCGCCACUGGCGGAAGCUGCGAGAGGAGAGCGCUGCGUGCACCUCGCUGGUCGCCUGCCUGCCUGCCCGCAGAUGUACUUCCUCAAAGGGGGAUAUGAGACCUUCUACUCGGAAUAUCCCGAGUGUUGCCUGGAUGUAAAACCCAUUUCACAAGAGAUGAUUGAGAGUGAGCGAGCCCUCAUCAGCCAGUGCGGAAAACCAGUCAGCUACAGGCCAGCUUAUGACCAGGGUAACCCAGGUCAUGGGUUACUGGGUAACCAUUUCAACCCAGUUGAAAUCCUUCCCUUCCUCUACUUUGGAAGUGCCUACCAUGCGUCCAAGUGCGAGUUCCUCGCCAACCUGCACAUCACAGCCUUACUGAAUGUCUCCCGACGGACCUCCGAGGCCUGCACGACCCACCUACACUACAAAUGGAUCCCUGUGAAAGACAGCCACACAGCUGACAUUAGCUCCUACUUUCAAGAAGCAAUAGACUUCAUUGACGGUGUCAGGGAAAAGGGAGGCAAGGUCCUGGUCCACUGGGAGGCUGGGAUCUCCUGUUCACCCACCAUCUGCAUGGCUUACCUCAGGAAGACCAAGCAGGUCCACCUGAACGAGGCCUUCGAUUACAUCAAGCAGAGGAGGCAUAUGGUCUCACCCAACUUUGGCUUCAUGGCCCAGCUUCUGCAGUGCAAAUCUGAGAUCCUGCCCUCCACGCCCAACCCCCAGCCUCCCUCCUGCCAAGGGGAGGCAGCAGGCUCUUCAUUGAUAGGCCAUUUACAGACACUGAGCCCUGACACGCAGGGUGCCUACUGCACAUUCCCUGCCUCGGUGCUGGCGCCGGUGCCCACCCAGUCGACAGUCUUGGAACUCAGCAGAAGCCCUGUGGCCAUGGCCACAUCCCCCUAAAACUGGGAUGGAGGAACCAGCCCAGCCCCAAGAGCAACUGUAGUUUUUGGUUUUAAGACUCAUGGACAUUUCAUACCUGUGCAAUACUGAAGAUCUCACUCUGUCAUGCUGCCCCAGUGAGAUAGUGAGUGGUCACCAGGCUUGCAAAUGAACUUCAGACGGACCUCAGGUUAGGUUCUCAGGACUGAAGGAAGGCCAAGCCAUUAGGGGAGCACAGCAUGUGCUGACUACUGUACUUCCAGACUCCCUUCCCUCUCCAGACUGCCCAGUCCUUGCACCUCAAAGUUUGCCUUUUCAUUUCAAGCAUAAGGCAAUAAAUACCUGCAGCAACAUGGGAGAAAGAAGUUGCUGGACCAAGAGAAAAGGCAGUUAUGAUGCCAAUUCAUUCUGAAGGAAGCACAAUUUCCACCUUAUUUUUUGAACUUUGGUAGUUUCAAUGUCUGUCUCCGUUGCUUCAGGGCAUAAGCUGAUCACUGUCUAGUUGGGAAAGUAACCCUACAGGGUUUGUAGGGACAUGAUCAGUAUCCUGAUUUGAAGCCUGAAAUGUUUUUUAGAUACCCUCUUGGGUCCAGUGAGGCAGUUGGUUGAAGUAGCAAGAUGCUGUCUCUUUUUGGUUGUUUUUUUUGGCCGUGGGUUCUUGGACUUUGCCAUGAUUCUUAUUCAUACUUGAACUUGUCUCAUUCCACCUCUUCUCAGAGCAACUCUUCAUUUGAGAAAAGAGUUUUUCAGAUCAUAGACCAAAAAUAGUCAUCCCCUCGAGGUGGUGGCAGUAGAUGCCUGGAGGAGAAGGGUACUUGCUGUGUAUCCUGAGUCAGUAGUGUUGAGCACUGGUUUCCUCAGCUUCCUGUCCUGUGUGCUUAUGUCUCUUGUGACAGUUGUUUUCCUCCCUGCCCCUCGAGAUUGUCUUCAACCUGUGGACUUCUGGGAUUUACAGAUUUUGCAAUGUGCUACUACUUUUUUUUUCUUUCUUUUAGUCUGUUGGUUAUUUCUCCAAGGGAAAAGGCAAUAAUUUUCUAAAACCCAUGUGAAUGUGAAGAAAAGCAGUAUGUUGAUGUUGUUUUUUAUAGUGUAAAAUAAAAAUAGUAAAAGGAAAAAAAAAAGAAUACCACAAGAACCUUGAAAAGGCCUUUUUGCUUUGUUGUACACUCCAGCAACUUUUUUCCUCUGCUUCUAACUUUGCUGUUAUGGCCUGACAGUAAAAUACUUACCAUGAAAGCCUAGAAAAGCAGUAUUUUUCACCAAUGUAAUUUGAUUUUGUACUCUGUUUUUCUUGAUAUAUCUAAUUGUUGCACUUAUAAUGUUAGAAACAUUUUUUUCUGUGUUUGAUUAAAUUCACCUGUCCUUUUAAUCAGGUCCAACUUCCAGAUUAUCUAAGGAAAAACAAUUACACUGCAAAAGAUUACCCUUUUGGUAGCUGGCUUAAAAUAAAAAGAUUUUACAUUUAAUCAAAAUAAA